GCCCACGUGGCGGAACUGGUAGACGCGCUACAUUCAGGAUGUAGUGAUCGCAAGGUCGUGGAGGUUCAAGUCCUCUCGUGGGCA
rnacentral:tRNA from 1 species